rnacentral:rRNA from 1 species
AUGCCUCGUCAUCUAAUUAGUGACGCGCAUGAAUGGAUUAACGAGAUUCCUACUGUCCCUAUCUACUAUCUAGCGAAACCACAGCCAAGGGAACGGGCUUGGAAUAAUUAGCGGGGAAAGAAGACCCUGUUGAGCUUGACUCUAGUCUGGCAGUGUAAGGAGACAUAAGAGGUGUAGCAUAAGUGGGAGAUAUAUUAGUUUCGGCUAAAUAUAUCAAAAAUGAAAUACCACUACUCUUAUUGUUUCCUUACUUACUUGAUAAAAUGGAACGUGUAUCAUUCACUUAGCCAUUUUAUGAAUAUAUUUAUAUAUUUUAUGGUAUUUUGUUUUGAUGCGAGCUUCUUGUUUAAAGUACCAAGAGUUUGUUAUAUACACCAAACAAAUAUCAAUUAAAUUUGCUUUCCAUUAAUAAUGGUUUGUUAAAUAUUAAUUGAAUUUGGUAUAACUAUUAUACUUAGGUAUGAUCCAAUUCAAGGACAUUGCCAGGUGGGGAGUUUGACUGGGGCGGUACAUCUCUCAAAUAAUAACGGAGGUGUCCCAAGGCCAGCUCAGUGCGGACAGAAACCACACAUAGAGCAAAAGGGCAAAUGCUGACUUGAUCUCGGUGUUCAGUACAUACAGAGACAGCAAAAGCUCGGCCUAUCGAUCCUUUUGGUUUAAAGAGUUUUUAACAAGAGGUGUCAGAAAAGUUACCACAGGGAUAACUGGCU